rnacentral:rRNA from 1 species
CUCUGGAGGCAGCAGUAGGGAAUCUUCCGCAAUGGACGAAAGUGUGAGGGAGCAACGCCGCGUGAGUGAUGAAGGCUUUCGGGUCGUAAAACUCUGUUGUUAGGGAAGAACAAGUGCUAGUUGAAUAAGCUGGCACCUUGACGGUACCUAACCAGAAAGCCACGGCUAAAUACGUGCCAGCAGCCGCGGUAAUACGUAGGUGGCAAGCGUUAUCCGGAAUUAUUGGGCGUAAAGCGCGCGCAGGUGGUUUCUUAAGUUUGAUGUGAAAGCCCACGGCUCAACCGUGGAGGGUCAUUGGAAACUGGGAGACUUGAGUGCAGAAGAGGAAAGUGGAAUUCCAUGUGUAGCGGUGAAAUGCGUAGAGAUAUGGAGGAACACCAGUGGCGAAGGCGACUUUCUGGUCUGUAACUGACACUGAGGCGCGAAAGCGUGGGGAGCAAACAGGAUUAGAUACCCUGGUAGUCCACGCCGUAAACGAUGGAGUGCCUUAAGGUGUUUAAG